rnacentral:rRNA from 1 species
AGUGAACGCUGGCGGUAGGCCUAACACAUGCAAGUCGAACGGCAGCACAGUAAGAGCUUGCUCUUACGGGUGGCGAGUGGCGGGCGGGUGAGGAAUACAUCGGAAUCUACUCUUUCGUGGGGGAUAACGUAGGGAAACUUACGCUAAUACAGCAUACGAUCUACGGGUGAAAGCAGGGGAACUUCGGACCUUGCGCGAAUGAAUGCGCCGAUGCGGGAUUAGCUAGUUGGGGGGGUAAAGGCCAACCAAGGCGCGGAUCGGUAGCUGGUGUGAGUGGAUGGUCAGCGACAUUGGAAGUGAACCACGGUCCUGAGUCCUACGGUAGGCAGCAGUGUGGAAUAGUGGGCAGUAGGCGCAAGCCUGAUCCAGCCAGACCGCGUGGGUGAAGAAGGCCUUCGGUGUGGAAAGCCCGUUUGUUGGGAAAGAAAAGCAUCAGGUUAAGACCCCGCUGGUCUGACGGUACCCAAAGAAUAAGCACCGGCUAACUUCGUG